rnacentral:rRNA from 1 species
AUUGAACGCUGGCGGAAUGCUUUACACAUGCAAGUCGAACGGCAGCACGGACUUCGGUCUGGUGGCGAGUGGCGAACGGGUGAGUAAUGUAUCGGAACGUGCCCAGUCGUGGGGGAUAACGUAGUGAAAAUUACGCUAAUACCACAUACGAUCUAUGGAUGAAAGCGGGGGAUCGCAAGACCUCGCGCGAUUGGAUCGGCCGAUAUCAGAUUAGGUAGUUGGUGGGGUAAAGGCCCACCAAGCCAACGAUCUGUGGCUGGUCUGAGAGGACGACCAGCCACACUGGGACUGAGACACGGUCCAGACUCCUACGGGAGGCAGCAGUGGGGAAUUUUGGACGAUAGGCGAAAGCCUGAUCCUGCCAUUCCGCGUGCAGGAUGAAGGCCCUCGGGUUGUAACCUGCUUUUGUACAGAACGAAAAGGUUUCUACUAAUACUAGGAGCUCAUGACGGUACUGUAAGAAUAAGCACCGGCUAACUACGUGCCAGCAGCCGCCGUAA